rnacentral:rRNA from 1 species
ACGCUGGCGGCGUGCCUAAUACAUGCAAGUAGAACGCUGAAGAGAGGAGCUUGCUCUUCUUGGAUGAGUUGCGAACGGGUGAGUAACGCGUAGGUAACCUGCCUUGUAGCGGGGGAUAACUAUUGGAAACGAUAGCUAAUACCGCAUAACAAUGGAUGACCCAUGUCAUUUAUUUGAAAGGGGCAAAUGCUCCACUACAAGAUGGACCUGCGUUGUAUUAGCUAGUAGGUGAGGUAACGGCUCACCUAGGCGACGAUACAUAGCCGACCUGAGAGGGUGAUCGGCCACACUGGGACUGAGACACGGCCCAGACUCCUACGGGAGGCAGCAGUAGGGAAUCUUCGGCAAUGGGGGCAACCCUGACCGAGCAACGCCGCGUGAGUGAAGAAGGUUUUCGGAUCGUAAAGCUCUGUUGUAAGUCAAGAGCGAGUGUGAGAGUGGAAAGUUCACACUGUGACGGUAGCUUACCAGAAAGGGACGGCUAACUACGUGCCAGCAGCCGCGGUAAUACGUAGGUCCCGAGCGUUGUCCGGAUUUAUUGGGCGUAAAGCGAGCGCAGGCGGUUUGAUAAGUCUGAAGUUAAAGGCUGUGGCUCAACCAUAGUUCGCUUUGGAAACUGUCAAACUUGAGUGCAGAAGGGGAGAGUGGAAUUCCAUGUGUAGCGGUGAAAUGCGUAGAUAUAUGGAGGAACACCGGUGGCGAAAGCGGCUCUCUGGUCUGUAACUGACGCUGAGGCUCGAAAGCGUGGGGAGCGAACAGGAUUAGAUACCCUGGUAGUCCACGCCGUAAACGAUGAGUGCUAGGUGUUGGAUCCUUUCCGGGAUUCAGUGCCGCAGCUAACGCAUUAAGCACUCCGCCUGGGGAGUACGACCGCAAGGUUGAAACUCAAAGGAAUUGACGGGGGCCCGCAC